rnacentral:rRNA from 1 species
AUACGGAGGGUGCAAGCGUUACUCGGAAUCACUGGGCGUAAAGCGCGCGCAGGCGGUCUUUUAAGUUGGAUGUGAAAGCCUACGGCUCAACCGUAGAACUGCAUCCAAAACUAUUUAGCUAGAGUGUGGGAGAGGAAGAUGGAAUUAGUUGUGUAGGGGUAAAAUCCGUAGAGAUAACUAGGAAUACCAAAAGCGAAGGCAAUCUUCUGGAACACUACUGACGCUGAGGCGCGAAAGCGUGGGGAGCAAACGGGAUUAGAAACCCUAGUAGUCC